AUUCAGCUGACGAGUGCCAAACAAGACAGAACGUGCGUCCUGGAU
rfam:Schistosoma rodhaini strain Burundi genome assembly, scaffold: SROB_scaffold0000660